GAAAAAGAGACCGAAUAGGAUCCGGAAAAGAACUAAAAAUCAAAUGAAUGUGGUGAAAGAAGAAUGAAAAGAAGCAGAAAGUCACUUAGGACAAUGACCAAAGAAGUAUUGUGUUAUUUAAACGGCCAUUUCAUGAAAAAUCAUUGAAAACCACCAACCUGAUCCCCCAGAAUCAGUUUAUGUUUUUUAUUUUUAUUUUUUUUCAUGCAACACCUUUAUUAUUUUCAUUGAAGGCAUCUAGAAUUUACAUUUGUAACCUUUGCGAUGUUGUGCUUUCCUUUCCAGCAUUUUUAAUCCCGUAUAAGUUAUUUAUUGAUAGGAGAUAUUAUAUCCUAGCUGGUAUUUCAACAAAAAAUUAUAUGUGUAGUAUUUAAUUCUUAACAUUGUCCCCUUUUUAACCUGCCCGGCACCAUUUUAUUCCCUUCUAUUGAGAAACCGGAGAAAUUCUUGAAUUUACUGAAAUUUCCAGACUUUGUAAAGCUGCCCAGAGGGUUGGGUUGGACCCUUUGAUGGGAUGGUUGUAGCCCCACAACUCUCCCUUCUUCAAGAGAAAAAGGCAAUGAGCUGCUGUGAACGGAGACACUGGUUCUCACAGGCUGACACUUUGAGGUUAAAGAAAAAACCUGAAUCUACUCAAGUUUUAAUACCAUCAUCCGUUGGACAUUUCUAAUAAUCUGUGUGGGCUAGAUAAGCAGAAAUGUGUGCUGUGACAUCUGCGUCUCUCUGCUGGACUUUGCUCUCUGUCUGCAUCCUGUUCGUCUCUGCAGACCCGAUAAGCAUCACAGCUGAAUCUGGUCAAACUCUCACUCUACUGUGUCGAGCUCAAAGCAGAUCUGACAUAACAGACGGAAAUGUCUUGAAGUACCACGGUCAGCAACUUCUUCUAUCAUACCAGAAUCCAUCUUUUAAGAACCAGGUGGAUCUCCAGGACAGACAGAUGAAGGAUGGAGACGUGUCAUUGAUUCUGAAGGACAUGACGAUUAAUGACGCUGGAGCGUACGAGUGCCGUGUCAUGCAGAGAGGAAUAAACCAAGAGAAGCUCAUCAGCAGCAUCACACUGAGUGUUGUUGAUCCUCCAGGUGAGUGAGUAGAGUUGAGUGUGUGUGUGAUCAGAGGUGAAGCUGCUUCCUGGUUGUUGAUGUUUGUUUCUAAAGAUGUUGUUGAUGAGACUUUGUAGAAAGCAGCUGGUCUGAGUGAUGUGAUCAGAUGACAGUAGAUAAUGUCUGACAGCAGUUUGAAGAGGAAAUGGAUUCUGUUCUGUUCUUCACUCAUCACCUACCUGACAGCUGACACCUCACACCUGUUUCUCACCUGCAGCUCAGCAAGAUUUACCUGUUGGAGUGGUAAUCGGUGCGUCAGCAGGAGCUGUAGCUCUCCUUGCUUUGAAUGGGGGUGGUAUUUGGAUGCUUUCGUGAGCUAAAGAAAACACAAAGAGCAGUUUUAUCAGAAUUCAAACCAUCUUGCUGUUGAUCUGAAAAUUAAAACAAAUCAUUCAAUAACUGAACUGUGAGCUUUCUGUGCUUCUUGUCUGAGCAGUUAUACGUAGCCAUGGAUAUACAAUCA
ensembl:lncRNA